rnacentral:piRNA from 1 species
UGUCACGGGUAGUUUUAGUAUCAGUGAAC